UGUAUUCACUACUGUAAGUCGCUCUGGAUAAGAGCGUCUGCUAAAUGACAAUAA
rfam:Salmo salar isolate Sally breed double haploid chromosome ssa09, whole genome shotgun sequence.